GACGAACGCUGGCGGCGUGCCUAAUACAUGCAAGUCGAGCGAAGUUUUUCUGGUGCUUGCACCGGAAAAACUUAGCGGCGAACGGGUGAGUAACACGUAAAGAACCUGCCUCAUAGACUGGGACAACUAUUGGAAACGAUAGCUAAUACCGGAUAAUAGCAUUAACUGCAUGGUUGAUGUUUAAAAGUUGGUUUUGCUAACACUAUGAGAUGGCUUUGCGGUGCAUUAGCUAGUUGGUGGGGUAAAGGCCUACCAAGGCGACGAUGCAUAGCCGACCUGGGAGGGUGAUCGGCCACACUGGGACUGAGACACGGCCCAGACUCCUACGGGAGGCAGCAGUAGGGAAUCUUCCGCAAUGGGCGAAAGCCUGACGGAGCAACGCCGCGUGAGUGAAGAAGGAUUUCGGUUCGUAAAGCUCUGUUGUUAGGGAAGAAUGAUUGUGUAGUAACUAUACACAGUAGAGACGGUACCUAACCAGAAAGCCACGGCUAACUACGUG
rnacentral:rRNA from 1 species